GAUGAACGCUGGCGGCGUGCCUAAUACAUGCAAGUCGAGCGAACAGUCUAAGAGCUUGCUCCUCUGACGUUAGCGGCGGACGGGUGAGUAACACGUGGACAACCUACCUAUAAGACUGGGAUAACUUCGGGAAACCGGAGCUAAUACCGGAUCAUAUAUUCACCCGCUUGGUUCAAUAGUGAAAGACGGUUUUGCUGUCACUUAUAGAUGGAUCCGCGCCGCAUUAGCUAGUUGGUAAGGUAACGGCCUACCAAGGCAACGAUGCGUAGCCGACCUGAGAGGGGGAUCGGCCAAACUGGAACUGAGACACGGCCCAGACUCCUACGGGAGGCAGCAGAAGGGAAUCUUCCGCAAUGGGCGAAGGCCUGACGGAGCAACGCCGCGUGAGUGAUGAAGGUCUUCGGAUCGUAAAACUCUGUUAUUAGGGAAGAACAAAUGUGUAAGAAACUAUGCACGUCUUGACGGUACCUAAUCAGAAAGCCACGGCUAACUACGUG
rnacentral:rRNA from 1 species